ACUAAUCAUCAGGAGAGGUUUCAUAACUGAAGCCCACCAACCGACCCAAAUGGGCACGGUGGUUCGAUCCUUGAACGGUAGAUGCGCCUUUAAAAAGGAAAUCACAAAGCCGCC
rnacentral:ncRNA from 10 species